GAGUUGCCACCCCCUGAUCUGAAGCAUCUGAAGGUUAUUUCGUGGGUGGAAGUCAAGUGCAGUUUGUUGUGUCUGGAACAUUUUCUUCUUUUUGGUUUCGAUAAUUGCAAGUGGGCAUUUGGAGAAGAUGGAAUCAUUCAAUUCGUGGAUGGUGUUUCCAGUUGGGCUGCAUGCUAUGUUAUCAGACAAACUUGUGGAUAUAGUUGGAGAACUACCGGAGGAAAUCGGCAUCAUGAUUAUCAGGAUGCUAGAUUCCAGGACUCUUCUGUCUGCAGCUGUGGUCAGCAAAAAGUGGCGGGAUUUAUGUCAUGCAGAUUCACGUCUUCAGAAGAAAAUUAUGCAACAAAUAAUGUUCCAAGGAGUGGUGCAAUACCUGAAUCCACAUAAAAUCAGCAUACAAAGGAGAGAUCCAAAUAACUACUGCCCAUCAUCUACUAUGAAUGGGCACCACAGGAUGACUGUUGCACCUGUAUCAAGUUAAACUCCACUGCCUCCCCAACCUCACAUAUGAACAAUACAGAUCGCCCGAGGCUUCCUCGGAUGUGGGCACCAACAGACUGGCAAUUUACGGUUCCAGCUGCAGAACAACCAAAUGAAACAACACAAAGAAAGGGUUUCAGCAAAGCUGGCAAAUCAUCAUCCACAGCAAAAAGAGAUGCACACAGAAUCUCACCAGAAUGGAAAUGGAACCAAAUCUUUUGACACUUGAAGAACAAUAUGACACUUGUACCUGCAUAAGAUAACUUAUAUUAAACUUAUUUUUUAAUGCAACUUGAUUCUAAUUAAACUUACUUUAUAAUGCAACUUGAUUCUAAUUAAACUUACUUUAUAAUGCAA